CGGCCGCGGGCUGCAUGGGCAGCGCCCGCGCCCCGCCGCCGUUCCGCCGCGGAGCCGCGUCGCCCUCGGAGCCGGAGCAUCCUGCCCUGCUGGAGUUCAUACCCAGUCCUGAGCAGCACUGAUUUUUGCCAUGGAAUCUACAGUUGAAGAUGAAGCAAUAGCAGCAUACAUGAAGACCAAGUAAGGGGAGGAGAACGAUGCCCAAGGGUGGGUGUUCUAAAACACCCCAGCAAGAAGACUGUUCUCUCAGCAACGACAUGGUGGAGAAACAAACUGGGAAAAAGGAUAAAGAUAAAGUUUCUCUAACCAAGACUCCAAAGCUGGACCGCACUGAUGGAGGGAAGGAGGUGAGAGAACGGGUCACCAAGCGGAAGCUGCCCUUCACCGUGGGGGCCAAUGGAGAGCAGAAAGACUCGGACACAGAUGCCUCCAGCUCAGUCCAUGUUGUGGUACUGCAAGGCUGGUACGGUCCUCGAAGCACCAUGGCAUGAAAUGGAGGUUCCUAGAAGCAGAAGGAACCUGUUCCCCGAAAGUCCGGGCUAUUGUUCGGCAUGGGGCUGUCUGGGAUCCGAGCUGGAUACCCGCUCUCUGAGCGUCAGCAGGUGGCUCUGCUCAUGCAGAUGACCGCCGAGGAGUCUGCAAAUAGUCCAGUAGACACCACACCAAAGCACCCUUCCCAGUCUACAGUGUGUCAGAAGGGGACCCCCAACUCCGCC
rnacentral:lncRNA from 1 species